rnacentral:sRNA from 1 species
AUAAAGCACUCUCUGGCACAGUGUCCAGUGACACGGUUCCGGUGGACAAAUGGUCUGGAUAACGAGGUAGGAGCUUCCGACCCUCAGUCACACAUGUCAACGUAAAUGUCCACUCCUGUAAUUAACGAACGUGUUAAUUUGUCAACACUGAUAGCUUAAACACAUGAGUGACAGUAGCGAAUCAGUCAUAAAAAAAUACAAACCAAAGCAAAUACAGGUACUACUAUUAGGGCUUGUGGUUCCUUGAAUACCUGCACAGAUCAAGAGCUAGGAUUUUAUCGUGCAACUGCGGACAGCAGAAAAUAAUACGCAGUUUUUUCGUUGCACUGCUUGAUAUAAAUGGAUAAGGAUAUUGUGUCAACCAGGGCAAACUGUGCAUGAUGCUUUAAAGGUUAUCGAAAAAAAUUGCGAUACUUCUAAGGUAAAACUUUUGAAAAAAUCAAUAUUGCUCAGUGAUACACUGCCGAGACUGAAUCUAAAAAUGAUUUUAUCAGCACUAUUGCAAGCUCAAUCACUGAACAUUUAAGGCCUUGAUCAGCAAACACGACACCUUAGCUGUGAAACGUGCAUAUAACUAUGAUUUCAAUGAUUCAAUCCUUUGUCUUGUAUACAAAAAAUAUCAAAAAUAUAUCACUCUGUAAACUGGUAAAUUAUACUACAUACUAUAUACUCUAUAUUCUAUGAUUAUUUUAUAACACCACUUCUUGACUUUGUAUUUUGGAGAGGGUUUAUAUAGGCUUUGCCUGUUGCCUAUAAUCCAUUUGAUUACUCAAUAAAAUAUGUUUAAAUUU